GUCCACGCCGUAAACGAUGAAUACUAGGUGUCAGGGAGCACAGCUCUUUGGUGCCGCCGCAAACGCAUUAAGUAUUCCACCUGGGGAGUACGUUCGCAAGAAUGAAACUCAAAGGAAUUGACGGGGACCCCGCACAAGCGGUGGAGCAUGUGGUUUAAUUCGAAGCAACGCGAAGAACCUUACCAAAUCUUGACAUCCCUCUGACCGGGACUUAACCGUCCCCUUUCUUCGGAACAGAGGAGACAGGUGGUGCAUGGUUGUCGU
rnacentral:rRNA from 1 species